rnacentral:rRNA from 1 species
GAUGAACGCUGGCGGCGUGCCUAAUACAUGCAAGUCGAGCGAACGGACGAGAAGCUUGCUUUUCUGAUGUUAGCGGCGGACGGGUGAGUAACACGUGGAUAACCUACCUAUAAGACUGGGAUAACUUCGGGAAGCCGGAGCUAAUACCGGAUAAUAUUUUGAACCGCAUGGUUCAAAAGUGAAAGACGGUCUUGCUGUCACUUAUAGAUGGAUCCGCGCUGCAUUAGCUAGUUGGUAAGGUAACGGCUUACCAAGGCAACGAUGCAUAGCCGACCUGAGAGGGUGAUCGGCCACACUGGAACUGAGACACGGUCCAGACUCCUACGGGAGGCAGCAGUAGGGAAUCUUCCGCAAUGGGCGAAAGCCUGACGGAGCAACGCCGCGUGAGUGAUGAAGGUCUUCGGAUCGUAAAACUCUGUUAUUAGGGAAGAACAUAUGUGUAAGUAACUGUGCACAUCUUGACGCUACCUAAUCAGAAAGCCACGGCUAACUACGUG